CCUACGGGUGGCAGCAGUGAGGAAUAUUGGUCAAUGGGCGCGAGCCUGAACCAGCCAAGUAGCGUGAAGGAUGACUGCCCUACGGGUUGUAAACUUCUUUUAUAAAGGAAUAAAGUGAGGCACGUGUGCCUUUUUGUAUGUACUUUAUGAAUAAGGAUCGGCUAACUCCGUGACAGCAGCCGCGGUAAUACGGAGGAUCCGAGCGUUAUCCGGAUUUAUUGGGUUUAAAGGGAGCGUAGAUGGGUUGUUAAGUCAGUUGUGAAAGUUUGCGGCUCAACCGUAAAAUUGCAAUUGAUACUGGCAGUCUUGAGUACAGUUGAGGUAGGCGGAAUUCGUGGUGUAGCGGUGAAAUGCGUAAAUAUAUGUAAGAACACCAGUGGCGAAGGCGUCUUGCUGGGUCGAUAAUGACAUUGAGGCACGAAAGCGUGGGGAGCAAACAGGAUUAGAUACCCCUGUAGUC
rnacentral:rRNA from 1 species